rnacentral:rRNA from 1 species
UACGUAGGCACCAAGCGUUGUCCGGAUUUAUUGGGCGUAAAGAGCUCGUAGGCGGUUCAGUUAGUCGGGUGUGAAAACUUCGGGCUUAACCCGAAGACUGCAUCCGAUACUGCUGUGACUUGAGUUCGGUAGGGGAGUGGGGAAUUCCUAGUGUAGCGGUGAAAUGCGCAGAUAUUAGGAGGAACACCGGUGGCGAAGGCGCCACUCUGGGCCGAUACUGACGCUGAGGAGCGAAAGCGUGGGGAGCGAACAGG